rnacentral:rRNA from 1 species
UACAGAGGUCCCGAGCGUUGUUCGGAUUCACUGGGCGUAAAGGGUGCGUAGGUGGUGGGAUAAGUCGGAUGUGAAAUCUCGGAGCUCAACUCCGAAACUGCAUUGGAAACUGACUCGCUAGAGGUUUGGAGGGGGGACUGGAAUACUUGGUGUAGCAGUGAAAUGCGUAGAUAUCAAGUGGAACACCGGUGGCGAAGGCGAGUCCCUGGACAACACCUGACACUGAGGCACGAAAGCUAGGGGAGCAAACAGG